rnacentral:ncRNA from 1 species
UGGCAAACCCGACGAAAGUCGGCGACGCAAAGCUAUAGGGCCUUUAAAAUGGCAGCCAGUUGCCGA